rnacentral:lncRNA from 1 species
UCUAUGUCAGCAUCGCCACCGUCAUCGGCUACAAGAGCCAGGCCGCCGCCGAAACGUGCACCGGCGUCGGCUACCUCGGCGUGGCCUGGUCCUUCGGCGCCACCAUCUUCGUCCUCGUCUACUGCACCGGCGGCGUCUCAGGCACGUCGUCCAAGCAUCUCUAAGUACAAUAACAUAUUUUAUACGGAGUACUAACGGAGAUAGUUUUGCACAUAUUUACGUUACGAUGUAUGAACUCCGGUGCAUGCAUGGUACAGGCGGGCACAUAAACCCGGCGGUGACGUUCGGGCUGCUGGUGGGGAGGAAGCUGUCGCUGGUGCGCGCCGUGCUGUACAUCGUGGCGCAGUGCCUGGGGGCCAUCUGCGGCGCGGGGCUCGUGAAGGGGAUCACGGGCCGCAGCUACGAGACACUCGGCGGCGGCGCCAACUCCGUGUCCGACGGGUUCUCGGUGGGCGCAGCGUUCGGCGCAGAGAUCGCCGGCACGUUCGUUCUCGUCUACACCGUGCUCUCCGCCACAGACCCCAAGCGCACCGCCCGCGACUCCUUCAUCCCCGUACGCGUGUUGAUUUCAUCUUCUUGCAUGCUUGCAUGCCGUAUACCCGUGGUUUCCGAGUGGUUGACUUGAGCGUGCUCUGUUUUCCUCUGCUCUGUGUGUGUGUUUGUUCAGGUGUUGGUGCCGCUACCGAUUGGGUUCGCGGUGUUCGUGGUGCACCUGGCGACAAUACCGAUCUCGGGGACGGGGAUCAACCCGGCCAGGAGCCUCGGCGCCGCCGUCAUGUACAACCAGCACAAAGCCUGGAAAGACCACGUGAGCAAACCACUAAGAUUGCAUCCACGCACGUAAUUAACCUUGGCAACAACCAUGCAUAUAUACCGAUUUUUGAUUGGUUGAUUAUUCUUGCAGUGGAUAUUCUGGGUGGGGCCGCUCCUCGGCGCGACCGUGGCGGCGUUCUACCACCGGUUCGUGCUGCGCGGCGAGGCCGCCAAGGCGCUGGGCUCGUUCAGGAGCACCGGCGCUGCGACCGCACGAACCUAACCAAGGAGCGAGCACACACGUACGCAUGCAUCCGUGUAAUCGAAGCUGCUUAAUUUGGUCGGCCCGGGCGUCCCUGUUUGAUUCUUGGUUCUACUACUUUGCUUGGUUCAUGCUGUCUUGUGUAACUUUGGACUGUUGCUUGCAUGUGCAUGCACGGGUGGUCCCUUCUGUUGUCUGUUGUCUCUUCGAUUAAUCUAUGCAAUUACACUUCGGUGAUUACAUCGCUACAUAUGUCUGUGUAUGGACGAAAGUUCCUACAUGUACUCUCCGUGGGAUGCAACAAAAACAAAUUUAUGUCAGAAUCGUUUGAACAACCAUUUGGACUUGGCACGGUUGCAGUAGCUGACUGUGUUGUUUCAAAUUUAGUUAUCGGUUUUGCUAUAAAAAAACUGUAUGUUUUUAGUGUGACCAGUCCGCGUGUUUGCAUUGGCCGCCGGAUCUUAAUCCAAGGAUGUCACAUGGUAGAGGUGUGAGUAAUCGUGAUUCUCAGAUCUUAAUUCAACGGUUCUGAUACAUUCAUACCCGAUCAAAUAUAUGUUUUUUUUUGCUUCAAAAACAGGGGAUUGAGAAAUAGCCACACCCUUAUUUUAUACAAUCCGUAUCGGUUUACCAAUUUUUCAACCGGAGAACGUUUUGUACCUCGCGGUCCAGCCGAACGAGCCGGAUAGCGAUGCAAAACAGAGAAAAUUAAAUAACACCUACCAACAUCCGGCACUCAACCAAGAGGUGGAGCCGGAAAAAAGAGCACCCAAACGCUCCUCGGAUUGGCGGAAGGACUGACGCAAAACACGAAGAAGAAUUGUUGAUGCGUGUUUAAUACUUUUCCCCGAGCAAAAGAAAUGCCUAACGAAAGUUUUCAUAGUAAAAUUUUAUUUGGGAAAGCUUCGUGUACACCCGGGCGCACCACGCCAAUAUUCUAACACAAACGCAUGCGCUUUGAGAUUCGUGCGGGAGAGAGAGAGAGAGAGAGUGCUUCCCAAACCGACGCGUCACCCCGCUGCGGCGCUGCGAAGCUGGAGAGGCGCGAUAAUGCAGUACACCGGCAGGAGAUGGAGUGCGAGUGCAGAACCGCCGGCAGGAGAUAGAUGGUGCAAGUGCUGAACCACCGAUGCAGUGUGCUUUGGGCGUUGAUCUCAAAGUUCUGCGGAUGGCCCGGGAUUGUGAGUGCAACACCUUUGGGUUCUAAAAAUCCACUCUCUUUAUUUUUGUUUAUGUGCAACAACAGUGAUCACAGUUGUAUGCCUUUCUGUUUUCCCAUGUUGGUAGAUCAGAGAUACCACUAGCAAGUGAGUUAGGUGAAAUACACUAAUUAACAUAACUAGGGAAAAACCCACCUACCAGUCGGCGCUGAAUCGUCAGGAUACACUAAUAUUUCAAAUGAUGUGUGUCAAAAACAUUACGAAAAAUACAUUAUCCGUGUUUGAUGUGAAUUACAGCUAUAUCUAAGUCACUUAGGUUGAGAUAAGUCGAUUUCUCAAACACUGGAUAUGGUUUGUGCUUUAAGAUUUAGAGCGGACAAUGGAAAGUGGAGGGUAGAAUAACGUUCAAAUACUGAUCCAACAAUUUUGAUGCAUCAACUGGAAUUUAAAACUUUUGGUUGAAAAUUAGACGCUUGAGACAUAACCACUGGAUUACGAUUAUAUCUUGUUCUUAAAUGCACAAACACUCUAACACUAGUGUUUCCUGACAUUUGUGGAGGCGCAAACAAAAGGAAUCUAUACACAAAGUCAGAAACGAAUUAAAAACGUCAUGUAACACGUAGAAUCUCUGUACAUGCUAGUUAAUCAUUUCGAGGUCACAUACGGGCGUCGCCGAAACUGGGCUAGGAUCGACCGUGCCCCUUUUUCCAGUUGAUUAAAGCAAAGCAAAACUGAUUUACAUGUUCUAGAGAAGACGCCUAAGGUUUGCUAGGCUAGCUAGUCUUGUUCGAUCUUUAGCUCUGUCUUUUUUUUAGGAAUCUUUAGCUGAUCUGUCGAGCCGUCUUGUCGCAUUUUGGAGUGCCUCUCUCAUCCCUUCUUCAUCACAAGAUCAAGCGUCGACGGCCACUCGCUUUUGUUGAUUUUCGUUAAAACGAAACAAAAGGUAUUAUAUUCCAAUGCAACGGCGAGAGCAACCUCCUGCCUCAAAAUAUCUAGUACCUACCUGGCUACCUCUAGCUCAUCGGCUCGUGUAUUUAAACAUCGCCUACCACCUCGCUCUGUUCGCGCCAAGAACACACCAGCACUAGCUAGCCUGCGCGUACCUACUGACCUAAUUAAGUUCUUCAGGUUGCAUAAUGCCGAACACGAAGGAGGAGGUGGCCGCCGCCAAACUCGCCAAGCAGGCCACCCUGACGGCGCCGUACUGGGACCCUCCGGCGGAGCUGCUGGACAGGAGCGAGCUGUCCCGUUGGUCCCUGUACCGCGCCGUCAUCGCCGAGUUCAUGGCCACGCUCAUCUUCCUCUACAUCAGCAUCGCCACGGUCAUCGGCUACAAGAGCCAGGCCGCCGCCCAAGCGUGCACCGGCGUCGGCUACCUCGGCGUGGCCUGGUCCUUCGGCGCCACCAUCUUCGUCCUCGUCCACUGCACCGGCGGCCUCUCAGGCGGGCACAUGAACCCGGCGGUGACGUUCGGGAUGCUGGUGGGGAGGAAGCUGUCGCUGGUGCGCGCCUCGAUGUACAUCGCGGCGCAGUGCCUGGGAGCCAUCUGCGGGGCGGCCAUCGUGAAGGCCAUCACGCGCCACGCCCACAGCUACGAGGCCUUCGGCGGCGGCGCCAACACCGUGGCCGACGGGUUCACGGUGGGCGGAGCGAUCGGCGCCGAGAUCGUCGGCACCUUCGUGCUCGUCUACACCGUCUUCUCCUCCACCGACCCCAAGCGCACCGCGCGCGACUCCUUCGUCCCCGUAACCUACCUAGCUCUAGCUCUAGCUGCGUGUUUGAUUUCCUCUUCUUGCUUGCAUGCAUGCAUGCAUUGCCGUGGAAAUGACGGACGCACCGUGUGAUUGACUCGAUGCCGUGCUCUGUUCUGUUCUGCGUGUUUCUGUUCAGGUGUUGCAGCCGCUGCCGAUUGGGUUUGCGGUGUUCGUGGUGCACCUGGCGACCAUACCGGUCACCGGCACGGGGAUUAACCCGGCCAGGAGCCUCGGCGCCGCCGUCAUGUACAACCAGCACAUAGCCUGGAAA